GCAACUUUUGCCCUAUUGCCAUUUUUAAGGGUUACUUCCUUAGCUCUCUACCUUCCCAUAGACUCUAUACUAAAGUGCAUAAAAAUACUAGAGUCUAAACUCAACUGGGAGAAAAAAAAAUUGUAAGGAUAGUAUUGAGCAAUUUUGAUGUGCCUACUCAAAGCAUGUCCUAGUUUCUUUAGGCUCUCUAGGUAUGUACCUCUAAACUCUUUCAAGCUUCCUUAGUUACCAACACUUUGACCAAUUCAGAU
rnacentral:lncRNA from 1 species